rnacentral:rRNA from 1 species
UAGGGAAUCUUCCGCAAUGGACGAAAGUCUGACGGAGCAACGCCGCGUGAGUGAUGAAGGUUUUCGGAUCGUAAAACUCUGUUGUUAGGGAAGAACAAGUACCGUUCGAAUAGGGCGGUACCUUGACGGUACCUAACCAGAAAGCCACGGCUAACUACGUGCCAGCAGCCGCGGUAAUACGUAGGUGGCAAGCGUUGUCCGGAAUUAUUGGGCGUAAAGCGCGCGCAGGCGGUUUCUUAAGUCUGAUGUGAAAGCCCCCGGCUCAACCGGGGAGGGUCAUUGGAAACUGGGGAACUUGAGUGCAGAAGAGGAGAGUGGAAUUCCACGUGUAGCGGUGAAAUGCGUAGAGAUGUGGAGGAACACCAGUGGCGAAGGCGACUCUCUGGUCUGUAACUGACGCUGAGGCGCGAAAGCGUGGGGAGCGAACAGGAUUAGAUACCCUGGUAGUCCACGCCGUAAACGAUGAGUGCUAAGUGUUAGAGGGUUUCCGCCCUUUAGUGCUGCAGCAAACGCAUUAAGCACUCCGCCUGGGGAGUACGGUCGCAAGACUG